AGAAAAAAAAUAUAUACUUAUUUUUGAAAAUACAUUUUAAAAAUUUUGACAUAUCAAUGUUUCCAAGCGUUGUUCUACCACGCACUUCACAACUUAUAAAAAGUAAAUAAUAAAUCUAUUUCAAAUGUCAAUUUCGUGGAGUAUACGUUUGAUAAUAACCACUGGAUGUACGUGAAGUAUACGCUAUGGUAGAAGAAUACAGUUAGUUGCAUCGACACAGCUGCUGGGACAAUGAACUGUCAAACCAAUUUUGAAAUUGAAAAUUUUAAAUAAAAAAUAUUAAAAAUUGUAAAUGCGGUUAAAAAAUGCAUAUCAUAACAACUUUCGAUUGGUGUUGUAUAAGAAAACUCAUAAAAAUCUACCUAUUUUUUAAAAAAAAAUCUAGUCAUAUCCCAAGCGUUUAUGCAUCUACCUGUAUUCUUCUACCAUGACGUAUACGCUAUAGAAUUGACAUUUGAAAACGAGUGGAUUUAGUAGUCUAAACUUACUCUAAGCAUACAUUAAAUAAGUUUUAAAGUACGUUUACAUACAAACUCUCUCCCCGUAAUAUCCUUGAUAAUUGACCAAUCACAAUAAAUCUGACAAAAUAAAACAUAUCUUAAAUUUAUUAUGAUUGGUUAAAUGGGUAGAGAUUUUGUAUGUAAACGUAAUUUUGUUUUGCUCAUUUCAUUAAUGUCUGUAUAUACCCAUAUAUAGCUCUUAAUUUGUAAUGGAAUUCCAUGAUUGCUUCGUUUAUAAAUCCUCUUUUCUUCCCCCACCCCAAUAAAUAAAACAAAUGUUCCCCGAAUAUUUUGUUUAAACUAUUUCAACAUUUUUUUUAUUAUUUCAAAUAUGUGUUUUUGUUAUUAUUUUCUUUCCUGCUUUCAUUUUUCAAUUACAUUUAUUUAUAAGUAUUGUUUUUUUUAAUUUACGUUUCUUUUUAUAAUUAUUAUUGUUGUUAAUAUUUCACUAGAGUUUAUUACAAAAAAAAAAAAAAGAAACAAACAAAAACAUUAAAUAUCAUUAACAAAUAUUAUUGCAAACAAUUAGUUUUGUUUUGUACCUAGAAACGUUACUGGGAAAAAUAUACAAAGGAACAAAAUAUUGAUUUCCUUACGAUAUGUACUCUUACUAAAGAAAAUAUAUAUCAUUGUAUAGCAUCAAACAUAUAUAAGUUGGGAAUCUUCUGGAAGAUGACCCAUAUUUAAUUGGAAAGUUUUGUUAAGUAGGGUUUGUAAAGAACUUUAGUUUUCUAGUUGAUUUCUGAAAAUCUAAUAUAAAUUUUAAAUAUAAACAUUUUAAAUCAAUACUGAGAUUUCUAAUUAAAAAAACAAUGUAGGCAAGUUUCUUCAACAUGUUGGUAUUUGUUUAAGAUAUUAGAGUUAUGGAUUCGAAAAAUAUCACAAAUUAUAAACAUGAUUUUUUUAAGAUAUUUGAAUGAUUUCGAAAAAUAAAAAUCCAACUGUUAUAGGACUUAAAUGUGAGACUAAUAGCGCGUUUUGAUAACUAAACCCACUCGAUUUCGAAUGCAAAUCUUAUUCAUAAAUAUCAACUUUUUGCCAUGGUAGAAGAAUACAGGUAGUCACAUCGACACAGCUGCUGGGACAAUGAACUGUCAAACUAAUUUUGAAAUUGAAAAUAUUGAAUGAAAAAUUAUUGAAGUUUGUAAAAAUUGUUGAAAGAUACAUAUUAUAUAAACCUCCGAAUUGCGUCGUAUAAGACAACAUAUAAAAAUCUACUUAUUUUUGACAAAACAUUUUGAAAAUUUUGACAUAUCAAUGUUCCCAAGCGUUGAUGCAUCUACCUAUAUUCUUCUACCAUGGGAUUUACCAUGGAAAAAUAAAUCUUCUCAUGAUUUGUUUUAAAUUUUUUGUUUUAAAUUUUAAAUUUGUUUUAAAUCCGCUACGGAAUCUAUAUAACAAUGAAAUGCAACACUGUUCAUAUUUUUUGACGGCACACUUCAAAGUCGCACUUGUUUCGGCAAUGGCGUUGUAGUUGCUUAAUCUUUGUUCAUAUUUAAUAUUAUAAAUGUUCUAUUAGUUAUUGUUUGGAUCUUUCAGAGACUAUGUGUGUUCCCACAAAUUUAGUUAAAUCAUUUUUCAUUCAGAAAUUUGAAUUACGAACAUCUUUUCACAUUUCAUUGUACCUGCACCUGUAUUAUUUUGGCAUGAUUCAAAUUCCAAUGGUAGGAAUACAUAAAACGCUUUUCUGACUGGCUUAAGCCAUCGGCUGACUUAUUUGUAAAAAAAACAAAGGAGCGUAGAGUUACACUCGAACUAAGUCAACCUAAAACUCGUAACAUAAGCAGCUUGAAGUCUAGCAAUCUGUUCGAAAAAUUCAACCAACAACAAAAGCUAACAUUUUUAACUGCUUUCAGACAAUAAAAGUACGUUUAUAUAUAUGAGGGUUAACCCACUGGAUUUGGAUUUAAAUUGUCAUAUCCAUUACUUUUACUUCAAAUAAAUCCUUUCAAAGUAGGUUAACCCUACAAAAAGUUCUAACGUAAACAUGGCAUAAGUGUUUUACAUAUGUAUGUCAUAUGUUAUGUAUGUCACUUUGAAUAUCUAUGCGUAUUUCCGUGUGUAUGUCAAAAUUGUAAUUUUACAUAUGACCCAUAAUUCUUGCUAUCACACACUUUCAUAUGUUUUUUAUCCUUUGCCUAUGUUGUCAUUAUAUUGUAUUUUUUUAAAAAAAAUAUAUAAUACAUUAUGUAUGACUUUUUAGUACAAAUUUAACUUAACAUAAUUUAGAACAACAAAAAAAAAAAAACACUUUUGAUUAGAUUAUAUUUUUCUGAUGAAAAUAGGGCUCGCUAUGAUCGAAAAAUGACACAUAUACUUUGCUCACGUAUUUCACCUUUGAAAUGUCGUCCAUGUUUCAUUGUCUGAUAGCAGAUUUAAUAACGUCACUGUUCAAAUAAACGAUUCACUGAAAUGAUGCUGAACUAAUUCCGUUAAAAUCGUAACUUUUGUGGGUGAAACAGAUCAAUGCUUAUAGCGCGUUUAUACUAUUACAGAGUAACCCAUUGAAUUUAUUAGAUCCAGUGGGUUUAUCUUGUGUGUCUAGAUACACUCCGUCAGUGUAUAAAUUGUCAGAAGAUUUUUAGUUGCGAAUACAAACAAAAGAGGAAAAAAAUGAUAAAUAUCGCGAAAUAUUUUGUGAAAAUAAAAAAAAAAAACAUGGAGCAAAUUGAUACUUUUAAGCAAGUAUUUACUUAUUUCCAUGGUAGAAGAAUACGGGUAGUUGCAUCUACACAGCUGCUGGGACAAUUUUUGAAUUGAAAAUUUUGAAUGAAAAAUUAUUAAAUUUUUUAAAAAUUUUUAAAAAAACGCAUAUCGUAACAACCUCCGAUUGGCGUUGAAUAAACAUUUAAAAAUUUUGGACGUGUCAAUGUUUCCAAGCUUCAAUGUAUAAUCAAAGAACUGAUGAAACAUUUGUUUAAAAUUAUAGGUUAAAUAAAGAAACAAAAUGAUCUUCAAUACCUACAUUUUUAAGAAUUCUUUUUCUAGUGCCAAAAAUUUAUAUAAAGAAGACAAGAAAUGCUUUAGGAAUAUGAUAUUCCCAGAUGCACGCGCUCCUUUUUCAAAGAAAGUUUUCCCAUGACUUGUGCAUGCUAUAAUAUUUCAUGCCAACCUCUUAUUUUUAUGGCCCAUGGUAGAAGAAUACAGGUAGACGCAUCAACGGUACAAUGAACUGUCAAUCCAAUAUUGGAAUUGAAAAUUUUGAAUGAAAUAUUAUUCAAAUUUAUAAAAAUUGAUGAAAAAUGCAUAUCACAACAACCUCCAAUUGACAUCGUAUAAGAAAACUUAUACAAAUCUACUUGUAUUUGACAGAACGUUUUAUAAUUUUUGACAUAUCAAUGUUCCCAAGCGUUGAUGCAUCUACCUGUAUUCUUCUACCAUUUUGACAAACAUGACAGAAAUAUUUCUUCUCCUUGUGCGUUUCUUCUUAAGUUACUACUUUUCGUAUGAAAAUCGACAAAUAAAUAAAUUGUUUUAUUAAAAAAAGUAAAUUAUUUUCUCUCACUAUUUUCUUUCUACAUUUUUUUUUCAAAUUGGUACUUCAUUUUGUUCUAUUCUUCGUUGUAAACAAACGUUUUGCGAAAACAGUUUAUAUUUUUGUAGUGCUUUUUAAGUCAAAAGAGUAGUUGCAUAUCAUUAGUAAAAAGAAAAGAUCGUGAAAGUUAAAACCUUAAACGACGUAGUGUACGUUUAGACUACCAAAUCCACUCGAUUUCAAAAAUCAGUCCCAUAGUGUAUACGCCACGCAAAUUGUAUUAAUAAAUCCUGCGGAUAUUUGAUGUAUACCAUGGUAGAAGAAUACAGGUAGUCGCAUCGACACAGCUGCUGAAACAAUGAACUGUCAAACCGAUUUUGAUAUUGAAAAUCGUGAAUAAAAAAUUAUUGAAAUUUGUAAAAAUUUUUGAAAAAAUACAUAUCAUUACAACUUCCGAUUUACAUCGUAUUAGAAAACAUUUAAAAAUCUACUUAUUUUUGAUGCUUUUUUAAGUCAAAAACAUAGUUGCAUAUCAUUAGUAUGUGGAUUACGUUCCGUAUUUAAAAUAAAUCUGUUCUGAAAAUACACCACUGUGUCAGCUGCAAGUGGCAACAGUAUUGUAUUUUCACGCCGAAGUUACGAUGUAAGCUUUGAUCUGCUUUAAGCUAAGAAUACAUAAAACUCUUUUCUGACUUCAGUCAUCGGUUGGCUUCUUCGCAGAGGAACAAAUGAGUUUUAGAUUGACUUAGUUCGAUUUUGGUCAUACGCUCUUUGUUCUUUUCCGAUGAAACCAGUCUAUGACUUAUGUCAGUCAAAAGAGCGUUUUAUGUAUUCUCACCUUUGCCUUUAGUUCGUUAAUCAAAGGACUAGUGAGGGAAACACGCUUUUAUUGAAAAAAAUUGAUUCCUAUAGCUUUCGAAAUAUCAUCCAAAUAUCAUUGAAAUAUAUGUCAUUAUAUAUUUUCUUAAAACAGAACUUGAAAUAACGUCACUAACUAUCGAAAACUAAAAUUAAAUUUAUUAAUUUGUUUCUUUUCAUUACAGAUUGGUUUUCGUUUGUUCUAUAAUUCAAUAACUAUUGAAAUUGUUAGAUUUAUUUUUUCUAGAUUUUUUAUUGACUAAUUGAAGAAUUUGUUUUUUGUUUAUUUUUAUUAUCCUUUUAUUUGUAUUGUUAUGGGGGGAAGGAGACAACCAAAAAUGUUGUUUGUUUUCCAAAACUUGUAUAGAAUACUUUAUUUUGUUUUUAGGUUUUUGUUUUCUCUUUAAGUUUUUUUUUUCAAUGCAGGGGUUAAUGCGUAUGUAUGUAUGCAUUUAAUGAGCCGUUUUAGGUUAUGUUUCAUUGUUAGAUUGAGGUUAUGUUUUGCGAUUUUUUCUUAUGCUUUGUUUUGGUGGUGGUUUACAUUUUCACUUUGCUUUGUCAUGUAAUUUAUUGAUUCGGUUUGCAUUAGAUUUUUGUUUUGUUUUGUUUUUCUUUUUUUUUGUUUUUAAUUGUCAUUCUGUUUAUUAAUCUUAUAGUAUUUGUUUUCAAGAAGUUUCUUUUUAUUUAUUAUUGUUUUCGGGAUUUAGAAAUGAAACUCUUGGAAGAGGAUUAUUUACUUUUUUCACUAUUUUUCUCUUUUUUUUCAAAUUGUUCAAAAGAAAACAACAACAAAAUUACCGAAUUUAUGUUUUGUUUUUUUAUUUUUUGUUUCUAUUUGAUUCGUUUGCAGUUCAUUUCCUUUAGUCAUAAUUGUUAUUUAUUUUGUUUAAUAUUUUUUUUUGUUAAUUACCUUUAUUAUUUGUUUGUUUUUUUAUUUUCUUAAUAAAAAAUAUGCAAUUCGAAUAUGUUUUUUAAACCUUAUUGUAAAUUCAAUAUUAAAUUCUUUACAAGUCUACACGUUGUAUAUAAGUUUCCUUAAAACUAAGGGUAGAUGGCAAUUGCCAGCGUUAAGGUGAGAAUACAUAAAACGCCCUUUAACUUGUCUAAGUCAUCGGAUGAUUUCUUCGCAGAGUAAAAGUAGUUUCAGGUUGACUUAGUUCGGUUUUGACAUGGUAGAAGAAUAUAGGUAGACGCAUCGACACAGCUGCUGGGAUAAUGAACUGUCAAACUAAUUUUGGAAUCGAAUAUGUUGAAUGAAAAUUUAUUUAAAUUUGGAAAAACGCCAAUUAUAAUAACCUCCGAAUGACGUCGCAUCAGAAAACGUACUGAUAUUUGAAAGAACAUUCAAAAUUUUUUGACAUAUCAAUAUUUCCAAGCGCUGAUGCAUCUACCUGAAUUCUUUUACCUUUGGUUUUGACCUUACGCUCCUUUAUUCUUUUCCGAAGAACCCAGCCGAUGAUUAAAGCCAGUCCAAAAAGCGUUCAAGGUAUUCUCACCUUUAGGUAAUGUCUACAUUUAAGAUUUUGAUCACGCAAAUUAAUUAAUUAAUUCACCUGCGUCAAAAGGAUCGUGAAAGUUCAUUUGAGACGGUAAAGAACUUCAACGUAGAAUUAGCCUUAAACGCCCUAGUACAUGUUUAGACUAUUAAAUCCCCUCAAUUUCAAAUGUCAAACCCAUAGCGUAUAGCGUCACGUAAGUCGCAUUCAUAAAUCCUGUGUAUAUUUGAUGUAUACCCUAUGGAAUUGACACUUGAGAACGAGUGGAUUUCGCACAUUUAAACACAUAAUAAAACCAGUGGAAAUUCACUGAAUUUAAGUGUCGAUUUGACAUUUGACGUUUACGUAAUGGAGUUGACAGUUAAAACCCAUUUGAUUUAGUAAGUCUAGACCAUGAUAGAAAAGUACAGUAGCAUCGACACAGCUGCUGGGACAAUUGUCAAAUCAAUUUUGGAAUUGAAAAUUUUGAAUGAAAAAAUAUUCAAUUUUAUAAAAAUUGUAAAAAAAUGCAUAUCUUAAUAACCUCUGAUAGGCGUCGUAAAAGAAAACAUAUGAAAAUCGACCUAUUUUUAAAAAAAAUCAUAAAAAAUUGACACAUCCACGCUUGGGAAUAUUGACAUGUCAAAAAUUUUUAAAAGUUUUUUCCAAAUAUAAGUAAAUUUUUGUAUGUUUUAUUGUACGAUAUCAAUCGGCGGUUUAGAUUAUAAUAUGUAUUUCCCAACAUUUUUUAAAAACUUGAAUAAUUUUUCAUUCAAAAAUUUCAAUUCCGAAAUUGGUUUGACAGUUCAUUGUGCCAGCAGCUGUGUCGAUGCGACUAUGGCAAUGAUGGCAUUUAGUGCCUACUUUUUUUGACAUGGCAAUGAUGUUGUGUCAAAACCGAGUAGCUAUGACACUCUUUUUGACCAGAUACCCUAAAUUAUUAUUUUAGUUUUUAUUUUUUGCGUGUUUUUUUUAGAUUUUUUAAUUUAAUAAAUUAUUGUAGUCAAUUUGCUGUUGAGAAAAAUAUGAUUAAAAUAAAAAGUUUAAAAUGACGAUUAGAAAUUUUCUUACAGAUCCAAAAGUACCUUGACAUAUCAAACUCUGCCCGGGUUAACCCUUAUAAUUUUGAGUAGACCUAUGGUAGAAGAAUACAGGUAAAUGCAUCAACGCUUGGGAGCAUUGAUAUGUCAAAAAAAAUUAAAUGUUUCUUCAAAUAUGAGUACAUUUUUAUAUGUUUUCUUAUACUACAUCAUUCGGAGGCUAUUAUAAUUCGCCUUUUUCAACAAUUUUUACAAAUGUAAAUAAUUUUUCAUUCAACAUUUUCAAUUCCAAAAUUGGUUUGACAGUUCAUUGUCCCAGCAGCUGUGUCGACGCGUCUACCUAAAUUCUUCUCUUCUUCUUCUCAACAACCUCCGAAUGAUGACUUACUUAUAAAAAUCUACAUAUUUUUUAAUAAACAUUUUAAAAUGUUUGACAUAUCAAUGUUCGCAAGCGUUAAUGCAUCUCCCUGCAUUCUUCUACCAUGGUGGUUCAACGGACAUUGGCAAAGACCUAAAAUGGUAAAGACUAGGCCUAAAAUGGUAAAGAUUAGACAAAAUGCAUUCUGAGUAGAUGGUUUGUGUUUAUACUAUCUAGAAUAACAGCUCAUGACAGGAACAUGUUAAUAUAAAAACCACAUUUAUAGAAAAAAUGACAAAUAAAAGAUUGAAAAAUCCAAAAAUAGGAUUUCAAAAUUCUAUUCCAUAGACUUUCCCAAUUAAUUACAUAUUUCGUAAGCGGUUUAAACCGCUUAACAUUGCUAACUAUGUUGUUACGAUAUCACAUGGUAGAAGAAUAUAGGUAGAUGCAUCGACGCAGCUGCUGGGACAAUGAACUGUCAAACAAAUUUUGGAAUUGAAAAUGUUGAAUGAAAAAUUAUUUAAAUUUGUAAAAAGUGUUGAAAAAUGCAUGUCUUUACAACCCACGAUUUGUGUCGUAUAAGGAAACAUACAAAAAUCUACUUAUAUUUGACAUAUCAAUGCUCCCAAGCGUUGAUGCAUCUACCUGUAUUUUUCUACCAUGCGAUAUCAUAACAACAGAGGUAUUUUCACAGGGUUGCCAUAUUUUGACUCUGCCUCGUCCUAUCUUUACACUUCUAUGUCUUUGACAUUAACCAGAUUAGGGCUACGUAGGUCGACUUUCGACUGAUUAACUUUUGGCGUUAAAAACGAAAACAACUUUUGCCAGUUGUCAUAAUCGUAAAAUCCACUCAUUGCAAUCGAUUUUUGAUUUAGAGAUUUUUAGAUUUAGAUUUUUAUCGACUUUUUAUUCGAUCCAAAUAAUAUGCAAUUAUUCUCUUGGUUUUAGUUCUAGUAUUUAUUUCUUAAUAAUGAACAUCAAAAUGUCGACAUUGACCAAAAAUGCACAUCAAAAAUUUUUAACAACCGUUAUUUUGUGUUUAAAUUGUCGUUAACUAGUUGGAAAAUCGUACUAUAGACAUACCAGUGCUAGUUGAAUGCCGUCCUUUAAGUUCACCCGUGGUGGAAGAAUACAGGUAAUCGCAUCGACACAGCUGAUGGGACAAUGAACUGUCAAACCAAUUUCGAAAUUGGAAUUUUUGAUUGAAAUAAUAUUCAAAUUUGUAAAUUUAAAAAAAAAAACGCAUAUUAAUAACCUUCGAUUGACGUCGUAUAAGAAAACAUAUAAAAAUUUACUUAUAUAUGAAAAACAUUUGAAAUUUUUUGACAUAUCAAUGUUCUCCAGUGUUGAUGCAUCUACCUGUAUUCUUCUACCAUGAGUUAACCCCAAUGCAUUGUCUGAAUUUUCAUUCACACGUAUUUCAAUUUGUAAGAAUAUUUCAUCGUCAUUUCUUAAAUUAAAAAAAACAACAAUUUUUAAAAAUAAUAUAAGAUGACAACGAACUGAUGAACAAUUUGUCAUUAUAUAUCAAUCUAAUAUGUAUUUACAAACUUACAAACAAACAACAAAAUUACACAUAUGUAUAUGUCUUCUAGAAGAUCUCUUCUCUGAUGUUAAAUACAAAAAAAUAUAUAUUCAUGUAUGCACUCAUCAAGUCUAAUUCUUUUUUUUUAAUUCAAAAACUUCUAAAAGUUGGUAUAAAAAAUAUUACAACUUUUAUGGGCUUUUAUUGUUUUUUUCUAUCAUUUUUUUUAAAUAAUUUAUUUCGUAUAUUUCUUUUUAAUGGUUAGUUUUAAACUAGGUAACAAAAAUUAUAUUCACUUAUUUGUUUUUAAUCUUAGCUACAUUUCAGAAAUCUUAUUUUUCAUAUUUUGUUUAACACUAACUUUAGUUUUCAAAGAAGUAGGGGGCGGGAUCUACAAACAAAAGUACGUACAAAUAGAUAGAAAUAUUCAUUUUACAAUAAACUGUUACCGGCAUAAAAAGGGCGGAAAUGGUAAAGAGAAGUCAUUAUGAAAAUAAUUUUUACAAUCACCAAAGUAUUAAACGACGAAAGCUUAGAAAAAAUUAAAUCAAAAUUGCAAGUUUUAUAUUGAAAACUACUCAAUUGUUGUCUGACAAAAAAUUGAAGUUUUAGACAUGUUUAGAUUGGUCACAAAACUGCUUAUUUUAACUCAGCUGAUCAGAUUUGAAUUGUUUCCCAGAAAGUAUUCACAAACUCUCAGUAAGUCGUCAAAUUUUCCUCUGUAUUGGGAUUUCCUAACACAUUUUUUGAGUUACCGACAAUAACUUCCGAUUAAAUUAUAUUUUUACGACGAAAAAUAGGGAUCUCGUGAUCGAUAAAGAACAUAUGUACCAUGGUAGAAGAAUACAGGUAGUCGCAUCGACACAUCUGCUGGGACAAUGAACUGUCAAAUCAAAUAAAUUGAAAUUUUGAAAGAUUUUUUUUUUUGAGAACGGUAGGAGCGAACAAUUCCUUCUGCAAAAAAUAGCAAUUAGAGAGAAAGAAAUGUUGACAGUGAUUUUAAUUCCGUAGUGAUUUUAAUUCCGUAUUUAUACCCUACAACACUAUCAGCCAGUUCCACGAUAUCGAAAGAACACGUUCGCACAACUUUUACACGACAAACAGCUGAUUUCCGUUCCACUAAAAUCCAUCAGAACGAAAAUUUGCACGAAAAUCAAAGCGAACGAAAACGUAAGCGUUUCAGUGUAAUUUUGCGUUCCACUAUCUUUUUUCUUUCGUACGCAUGCGAACACAAAUGUCAAAAUCAGUCACUUGUGUGUUUGCUAUCGUAUAAUAACAAUUAAGGAAAAUGGUUUUAACAUAAACAUUGCUUGAUUGAAAAUGGAAACAAAAAUCACGAAAAAAUCAUCAACUACACAGCUGCGGGCACUAGUAUAUGGAGGAGAAUCCUGGGUUCGCCAGAGGAGUGCCAAUUUUUGGAAGCAGCAGAAGAAGUUUUAAAUCGGGGCGGAUUUGGGUAGUUCUGCAACCGGGCACCCACUUCUCUUCCAUCAUAUCCAAAAGAGCCCGAAAACUUCCUUCGACACACGAAAAUUGGCCACAAACCUUGAAAAAAUUAUUAUUAUUAUUUUUUAUUAUUUCAAAAAUGUAAAAAUACAAUCAUACUUACUGGUUGUUAGGUACUUCAAAUAAAUUCGAAGCAUCUCUUAAA